UACGAAGGUCCCAAGCGUUGUUCGGAAUCACUGGGCGUAAAGGGAGCGUAGGCGGCGUGGUAAGUCAGAUGUGAAAUCCCGGGGCUCAACCCCGGAACUGCAUCCGAUACUGCCAUGCUAGAGGAUUGGAGAGGUAGCUGGAAUUCUUGGUGUAGCAGUGAAAUGCGUAGAGAUCAAGAGGAACACUCGUGGCGAAAGCGAGCUACUGGACAAUUCCCGACGCUGAGGCUCGAAGGCUAGGGUAGCGAAAGGG
rnacentral:rRNA from 1 species